rfam:Ciona savignyi cont_31699, whole genome shotgun sequence.
GCAUUGGUGGUUCAGUGGUAGAAUCCUCGCCUGCCACGCGGGGGGCCUGGGAUCGAUUCCCGGCCAAUGCA